CGGAGGGUGCAAGCGUUAAUCGGAAUUACUGGGCGUAAAGGGUGCGUAGGUGGUUGGAUAAGUUAUCUGUGAAAGCCCCGGGCUCAACCUGGGAAGGUCAGAUAAGACUGUUCGACUCGAGUAUAGGAGAGGGUAGUGGAAUUUCCGGUGUAGCGGUGAAAUGCGUAGAGAUCGGAAGGAACACCAGUGGCGAAGGCGGCUACCUGGCCUGAUACUGACACUGAAGCACGAAAGCGUGGGGAGCAAACAGGAUUAGAUACCCUGGUAGUCCACGCCGUAAACGAUGUCAACUAGUUGUUGGUGAUAUGAAUAUCAUUAGUGACGAAGCUAACGCGAUAAGUUGACCGCCUGGGGAGUACGGUCGCAAGAUUA
rnacentral:rRNA from 1 species